rnacentral:tmRNA from 1 species
GGGGGCGUACUGGUUUCGACCUGGGGGAUACGCCAGAGGCGGCAUGCCGAGGAUGGUUCGUUGGCCUCGUUAAUCAUCGGACCAAAAAACAACUGCUAACGAAGAAUUAGCACUCGCGGCCUAAUGCGCUGCGACGUUCACUGGUGGACGCCUGCUACGCCGGAUGAACGCCACAGCAGGCGUGGUUGACGGCGGAGACCGCGCGCCGGCGGCCGAGAAAAUUCCAUGCGGACUAAGCGGUGCGACUCGCGUCAGGCCGUGAUACCCUGGAAGGUUCGAGUCCUGCCA